AUAUUGUAAACAAGACUCUUGAAUACAAUCAUACAAUUUUUUCUCACAAAUUGCAACACUCCCAAUAAAUCUCAAAACUCUUUCAAACCUCUUGAUCAUGUUUUGAUCUUCUCUCUAUGUAAGUGCGCAAUUUUUCUCAAGCGAAACUAUCGCCCUAUAGAUUUGGACUUAAAUCCAAAACCUAUUUCAACUAGAAAUCCUACUUCACGUAGGAGUCCUCUUUUGUGUGGAACUCCUAGUUCACUUCUUCUUCAACUUUAACUUUGUCGCAUCAAAUCCUUGUUGAACUCAACUUUGGCUUCUUAUUCUUAUUUGUCUUUGCUGCAAAAAUCUUACGCUUUUUGUCGCCUCAAAAUUACCCUUAUCUGAAGUUUGUUCACUUGCACUAAUAGGAGUGACUAAAAUUUCAUUCUUGUCAGUUGAACUGGAAGCAAAAUUUGUAACAUCACUUGUCUUUUCUUGUUUGUUGUUGUUGGUGGUGUUGGAAGACACCAUAGUGGUCUUGUUUGGUGAUUCUACAGAGACUUCUUUGAGGCUCAUUUUAGACUCAACUAAUGAAGUUCUAGACAUUCUUGGACUUGGACUUUCACCUAUUUGUUCCUCCCUGUCAAAGUUCAACAGAGGGCCUUGACCUGUUGAGGACUUUGGUUUGAGUACGGACUUUGGUGAUGAUGAACAACUCGAGGCUGUAGGGACUUCUCGGAUUAAAGAUUGUAAGCUGAUCAAGUCUUGAUUGACAGAGCUCUCCGAUGGAAUUCCAGAAGUCGAGGAGCCUUCACUUGCUGAGAACUUUGGUUGAAUCAUAGUGUUGGGAGAGGGGGAUGAAGUAGAGGCCCUCGGAACUUGUUCAACCACCAAAUCAUGUGGUGAUGAUGAUGAUGAUGCUUGUGAACCAUCAAUACUCUGGCUAAUUGUAGAAAAAACUUCUUCAAUAGGCUGUUUACCACCAUUAUCGUGAAGUGCUUCAUGAAUUUCAUUCCUAGGGAGAGACUUUGAAUUUUCUGCAGACUUCUGUGUCUUCGGAUGUGGUACUGAACUUUGCACUGUCGGAUUUCUUAACGUAAGUUUUGAGCUCCGAGUACUGGUUGGAUCACAACUUUCAGCAGUUACUUCAUCUGUCAGCUUAUUUUUUAGUUUGCGCCUAUCUACUUGUUGAGCCUCCAAAUUUGAACUAGAUCCUUUAUCAAUGGAAAAUGUUGGUUGCGAAACAGACUUAGACGAUGAUGUACUAGAAGAGGCUUCAAAUGAGUGAUGUCCUUGUCCAAUAGUCGAAAAUGCCACAGGUUCACUAUGUUGUUCGCUGGCACUGUCUAGAACGAGUGCAGCGACAUCGUUCUCUUUGGCUGAAAUUGAAUUUUCUGUUUCUGAAGCUGAUCAAUACUCGAAGAGGAUCCAUGUUCAAUCAAACAAUUUGGUUGUAGAACAGAUGUCGGUGAUACUAAUGACGUUAAUGCGAAA